UACAGAGGGUGCAAGCGUUGUUCGGAAUUAUUGGGCGUAAAGCGCGUGUAGGCGGCUUUGCAAGUCGGGUGUGAAAGCCCUCAGCUCAACUGAGGAAGUGCGCCCGAAACUGCAGAGCUUGAGUACCGGAGAGGAUGGCGGAAUUCCCCAAGUAGAGGUGAAAUUCGUAGAUAUGGGGAGGAACACCGGUGGCGAAGGCGGCCAUCUGGACGGAUACUGACGCUGAGACGCGAAAGCGUGGGGAGCAAACGGG
rnacentral:rRNA from 1 species